AGAAUCAACGCUGGCGGCGUGCCUAACACAUGCAAGUCGAACGAGAAAGUGGAGCAAUCCAUGAGUACAGUGGCGCACGGGUGAGUAACACGUGACUAACCUACCCUUGAGUGGGGGAUAACUGAGGGAAACCUUAGCUAAUACCGCAUAAUACCUACGGGUCAAAGGAGCAAUUCGCUUAAGGAGGGGGUCGCGGCCGAUUAGCUAGUUGGCGGGGUAACGGCCCACCAAGGCGAAGAUCGGUAGCCGGCCUGAGAGGGCGCACGGCCACACUGGAACUGAAACACGGUCCAGACUCCUACGGGAGGCAGCAGUGGGGAAUUUUGCGCAAUGGGGGAAACCCUGACGCAGCAACGCCGCGUGGAGGAUGAAGUCCCUUGGGACGUAAACUCCUUUCGACCGGGACGAUAAUGACGGUACCGGUGGAAGAAGCCCCGGCUAACUUCGUGCCAGCAGCCGCGGUAAUACGAGGGGGGCAAGCGUUGUUCGGAAUUAUUGGGCGUAAAGGGCGCGUAGGCGGUGCGGUAAGUCACCUGUGAAACCUCUGGGCUUAACUCAGAGCCUGCAGGCGAAACUGCCGUGCUGGAGGGUGGGAGAGGUGCGUGGAAUUCCCGGUGUAGCGGUGAAAUGCGUAGAUAUCGGGAGGAACACCUGUGGCGAAAGCGGCGCACUGGACCACUACUGACGCUGAGGCGCGAAAGCCGGGGGAGCAAACAGGAUUAGAUACCCUGGUAGUCCCGGCCCUAAACGAUGAUUGCUUGGUGUGAUCGGUACCCAAUCCGAUUGUGCCGCAGCUAACGCGAUAAGCAAUCCGCCUGGGGAGUACGGUCGCAAGGCUGAA
rnacentral:rRNA from 1 species